rnacentral:rRNA from 1 species
GACGAACGCUGGCGGCGUGCUUAACACAUGCAAGUCGAACGAAGUGGCGAACGGGUGAGUAACGCGUAAUCAACCUGCCCUUCAGUGGGGUACAACAGUUGGAAACGACUUCUAAUACCGCAUACUGAAGGAGGGGUUUGCGUCUGAUUAGGUAGUUGGAGGGGUAACGGCCGACCAAGGCGAUGAUCAGUAGCCGGUCUGGGAGGAUGGACGGCCACAUUGGGACUGAGACAAGGCCCAGACUCCUACGGGAGGCAGCAGUGGGAAAACUUGCGCAAUGGACGAAAGUCUGACGGGGCAACGCCGCGUGAGUGAUGAGGGCCUUCGGGUUGUAAAGCUCUGUUAAUCGGGACGCGGUACCGGAAGAGAAAGCCACGGCUAACUACGUGCCAGCAGCCGCGGUAAUAC